UGGGGAAUAUUGCACAAUGGGCGCAAGCCUGAUGCAGCCAUGCCGCGUGUAUGAAGAAGGCCUUCGGGUUGUAAAGUACUUUCAGCGGGGAGGAAGGGAGUAAAGUGAAUACCUUUGCUCAUUGACGUUACCCGCAGAAGAAGCACCGGCUAACUCCGUGCCAGCAGCCGCGGUAAUACGGAGGGUGCAAGCGUUAAUCGGAAUUACUGGGCGUAAAGCGCACGCAGGCGGUUUGUUAAGUCAGAUGUGAAAUCCCCGGGCUCAACCUGGGAACUGCAUCUGAUACUGGCAGGCUAGAGUCUUGUAGAGGGGGGUAGAAUUCCAGGUGUAGCGGUGAAAUGCGUAGAGAUCUGGAGGAAUACCGGUGGCGAAGGCGGCCCCCUGGACAAAGACUGACGCUCAGGUGCGAAAGCGUGGGGAGCAAACAGG
rnacentral:rRNA from 1 species